GGGGUGCGGCGGCGCGAAUACUUUAAAUGCGGGAAACCGUGAUAAGGGGACACCGAGUGCCAGCAUCAUAUGCUGGCUGUCCAGGUGUGUAAAAUACACCUGUUAGCAAGGGCCGGGCAAGACCGGUGCCAACCGCCGCGGUAACACCGGCGGCCCGAGUGGUGAUCGUGAUUAUUGGGUCUAAAGGGUCCGUAGCCGGUUUGGUCAUUCCUCCGGGAAAUCUGAUAGCUUAACUAUGAGGCUUUCGGAGGAUACUGCCAAACUUGGAACCGGGAGAGGUAAGAGGUACUACAGGGGUAGGAGUGAAAUCUUGUAAUCCCUGUGGGACCACCUGUGGCGAAGGCGUCUUACCAGAACGGGUUCGACGGUGAGGGACGAAAGCUGGGGGCACGAACCGGAUUAUAUACCCGGGUAGUCCCAGCCGUAAACGAUGCUCGCUAGGUGUCAGGCAUGGCGCGACCGUGUCUGGUGCCGCAGGGAAGCCGUGAAGCGAGCCACCUGGGAAGUACGGCCGCAAGGCUGAAACUUAAAGGAAUUGGCGGGGGAGCAC
rnacentral:rRNA from 1 species